UACGAAGGGUGCAAACGUUGCUCGGAAUCAUUGGGCGUAAAGCGCACGUAGGCGGCGCAGUAAGUCGGACGUGAAAUCCCUCGGCUCAACCGAGGACGUGCAUCCGAAACUACUGUGCUCGAGUAUGGAAGAGGGUCGCGGAAUUCUCGGUGUAGAGGUGAAAUUCGUAGAUAUCGGGAGGAACACCAGUGGCGAAGGCGAGUCCCUGGACAACUCCUGACACUGAGGCACGAAAGCUAGGGGAGCAAACAGG
rnacentral:rRNA from 1 species